AUCAUGGCUCAGAUUGAACGCUGGCGGCAGGCCUAACACAUGCAAGUCGAACGGUAACAGGAAACAGCUUGCUGUUCGCUGACGAGUGGCGGACGGGUGAGUAAUGUCUGGGAAACUGCCUGAUGGAGGGGGGAUAACUACUGGAAACGGUAGCUAAUACCGCAUAACGUCGCAAGACCAAAGAGGGGGACCUUCGGGCCUCUUGCCAUCGGAUGUGCCCAGAUGGGAUUAGCUAGUAGGUGGGGUAACGGCUCACCUAGGCGACGAUCCCUAGCUGGUCUGAGAGGAUGACCAGCCACACUGGAACUGAGACACGGUCCAGACUCCUACGGGAGGCAGCAGUGGGGAAUAUUGCACAAUGGGCGCAAGCCUGAUGCAGCCAUGCCGCGUGUAUGAAGAAGGCCUUCGGGUUGUAAAGUACUUCAGCGGGGAGGAAGGGAGUAAAGUUAAUACCUUUGCUCAUUGACGUUACCCGCAGAAGAAGCACCGGCUAACUCCGUGCCAGCAGCGGC
rnacentral:rRNA from 1 species